rnacentral:rRNA from 1 species
AAGUCCCGUAACGAGCGCAACCCUUAUCCUUAUUUGCCAGCACUUCGGGUGGGAACUCUAAGGAGACUGCCGGUGACAAACCGGAGGAAGGUGGGGACGACGUCAAGUCAUCAUGGCCCUUACGAGUAGGGCUACACACGUGCUACAAUGGCGUAUACAGAGGGCAGCGAACUCGCGAGGGUAAGCAAAUCCCAAAAAGUACGUCGUAGUCCGGAUUGGAGUCUGCAACUCGACUCCAUGAAGUCGGAAUCGCUAGUAAUCGUGAAUCAGAAUGUCACGGUGAAUACGUUCCCGGGCCUU